ACAAACUUUCCAUUGACAGAAAUAGUCAGCUCUACUGCCUUUCCUUUUGCAUUGAAAUCUUUAUUACAAUCAAUCCUGCAGUUCAUACAGAACUUUGUUUUCCUACCUCCACAAGUGCUA